rnacentral:rRNA from 1 species
AAGCGUUAUCCGGAAUUAUUGGGCGUAAAGAGCUCGUAGGCGGUUUGUGGCGUCUGCCGUGAAAGUCCGGGGCUCAACUCCGGAUCUGCGGUGGGUACGGGCAGACUAGAGUGAUGUAGGGGAGACUGGAAUUCCUGGUGUAGCGGUGAAAUGCGCAGAUAUCAGGAGGAACACCGAUGGCGAAGGCAGGUCUCUGGGCAUUAACUGACGCUGAGGAGCGAAAGCAUGGGGAGCGAACAGG